GGGAUAUUCUCAAACCUGGAAAUAGAUUAUAGCAUAUCACAACAGGUAGUAUUUACAUUCUGUUAUAUACAGUAAGUGGUAAUAGCUGGACGAAGAAAUGCAUAGAUGUUGCUGAGAUAAACAGUAUGAAUAAGGUAUGUUUUUACUAUGUAAUGUCAUAUAUCUUGUUUAGCACAACAAAUCAUAGCCAGCUGUGUUUCUAUUAGAGCCCGACCGAUAUGGGAGACAUAUAUACAUAUAUAGAGAGAUAUACAGAAUUCAGAUGAACAGAGACAAGUCUAUGCUCUCAUUUGUUUUAAUAAUGAAGAGUUAUUGAGGGAUAGUAGUUUUGUCUUCUGUCAAAUGAUCAGAGUAUCAUAAAAAUGUGAUUUUUUUCAUAGUAAAUAUUAUUUAAUGUCAUCUGUUUCUAUUGUAUUCUCUCCUGAUAGUGGCAGCCAUUUGGCAUUGAUGACAAUGUGCCAGUAUUAAAAUGGGAUUUUUUUUUUUUUUACCCUGCUUACAGGUACCCCAUCACAAACGACCAUUUCCCUCCAUUCCCACUAAUCCCAUUUUUUAGGGAGGUCAGCCUCACUGACAUGGAAGUAUUGGAAGUCCAACCUGCAUGGCCUAAUACUUGAAGCUUGACCUGGACUCACCUCUGAAAGUCUUCAGGCUCAGAUUCAAGAGCUUCUUGGGGCAGUGAAGCAAAGCGCGUGAGCUUUUUUGCCACAGAUUGAGCAUCCUCAGGUUUCUCAGCCCCUUUGUGCUGGACCAGGGUGGGUGUUUUCUCUGUUUUCUGCUGUUCGAGUGCUGCACGGAUGGACAAAGCCUUGGCCCUGCGCAUACAAUGUCUUUCCUGAAGGUAUAGUCCUUCUCAACCUUCCUUGGUGUUAUCACAAAGGCUCCUGCACCUUUAGAGUACUGGUGUUUGAGUUGCUCCAUUUAUUGUGGUAUUGUUUAACUGUUAUGAUUAUUUAAUGAUUUAAAAAGUGGAGAAGCAGCUCAAACAGCUCCUCAUUGUGGGUCGGCAUUUUUUUUUUCUUACAGUUUUGACAAUGUACCACAUUCGUAAUGUAUUCAUGUUGGAUUUUUUUGUGUUUCUGUCGCAGGACCUUCUGCACAGAUGGGUGGCUGUCAGUGGCAAUAACGGAGAUCUGCACACCAUACCCUGCGAACCUGGACAGACAUCUCUCCAGACCGAGUCGCAAUAAUGCAGGUCCUGCCAUGAAGACAAGUGCCACAGAGGGAGAGCUGCCUGUCGCCACCUUGAUGAUUUAAUAUUUAGAUUUAUUUUAAUUUCAUGCUGU